rnacentral:rRNA from 1 species
CACGUAGGGUGCGAGCGUUGUCCGGAAUUAUUGGGCGUAAAGAGCUCGUAGGCGGUGUGUCGCGUCGGUCGUGAAAACCUGCAGCUUAACUGUGGGCUUGCGGUCGAUACGGGCAUCACUGGAGUUCGGCAGGGGAGACUGGAAUUCCUGGUGUAGCGGUGAAAUGCGCAGAUAUCAGGAGGAACACCGGUGGCGAAGGCGGUUCUCUGGGCCUGUACUGACGCUGAGGAGCGAAAGCGUGGGGAGCGAACAGG